ACACGACUACAUUAGAUACCCGGUAGUCCCAGCCGUAAACUAUGCGCGUUAGGUGUAUCGGUGACCACGAGUUACCGAGGUGCCGAAGGGAAACCGUGAAACGUGCCGCCUGGGAAGUACGGUCGCAAGGCUGAAACUUAAAGGAAUUGGCGGGGAGCACCACAACAGGUGGAGCCUGCGGUUUAAUUGGACUCAACGCCGGGAAGCUCACCGGAUAGGACAGCAGAAUGAUUGCCGGGCUGAAGACCCUGCAUGACUAGCUG
rnacentral:rRNA from 1 species